UACAGAGGUCUCAAGCGUUGUUCGGAUUCAUUGGGCGUAAAGGGUGCGUAGGUGGCGCUGUAAGUCGGGUGUGAAAUUUCGAGGCUUAACCUCGAAACUGCAUUCGAUACUGCGGUGCUUGAGGACUGGAGAGGAGACUGGAAUUUAUGGUGUAGCAGUGAAAUGCGUAGAGAUCAUAAGGAAGACCAGUGGCGAAGGCGGGUCUCUGGACAGUUCCUGACACUGAGGCACGAAGGCCAGGGGAGCAAACGGG
rnacentral:rRNA from 1 species